rnacentral:lncRNA from 1 species
AAGAUACUGCUUUAUCAUGCAAUUUAUGUAUUUAUUCUUUAAUAUAGUUAUUUUUAGUGUUACAUCAUUGUGACUAUAUAACAUGUGAUUCAACAUAUGUAGCAGAGGUUCUCAACCUUCCUAAUGGCUCGACCCUUUAAUACAGUUCCUCAUGUUGUGGUGACCCCUAACCAUAAAAUUAUUUUUGUUGCUACUUCAUAACUGUAAUUUUGCUACUGUUAUGAAUCAUAAUGUAAAUAUCUGAUAUGCAGGAUGUAUUUUCAUUGUUACAAAUUGAACAUAAUUAAAUUAUAGUGAUUAAUCACAGAAACAAUACUGCAUGUAAUUACAUAUUGUGAAAUAAUUGUUUCUAAUUACAAAUAAAUGAAAUUUUGUCUUGAAGCAUGGUGUAGCAUGGGUAACAGUCU